UUUGCCAAGUGUUGCACAUAUAAAAUGCCAUGUAACAAUUUAGGACAAAUUAGUUAUUUUAGGUAAAAUUUAUUUCUCUUUUAACUAAUUAAGCAUUUUGAAAACAUCUAUCUAUAUUUUACUUAAAAGGAAAGAAGUCAACCUUAAGAUUUUGCCAAGUGUUACACAUAUAAAAUGUCAUGUAGCAAUUUAGGACAAAUUAGUUAUUUUAGGUAAAAUUUGUUUCUUUUUUAACUAAUUAAGCAUUUUGAAAACAAUUUAAUAGGUGUAUAUAUAUAUAUUUAAAGAAACGGUAGUUUCUACUUUUUUGAAACAAUAGUUUUUUUUAUUUUUUUAAAGAAACAGCAAUUGGAACGUCAUUUUUGCGUAUUUGCCUAAAAUUUCAUCCUCCAAAUUCAGCCCUUCAAUCCCACAAUUUCAACUGCUCACCCACGAUUUCAACUCGUCGCCCACGAAUUCUUCUCCGCUGGAUUCCAAUAACAUGAUAUCAUAAUUUUAUCAAAUCAAUUCUACUUUACAGUAUAUUAUUCUAUUCUUUCUCCAUCGUGUGUGCAUAUCAAACAACAAUUCUGGACUACAAGAGGUAAUUGGUAUGAUUUGUAUCUUUAUUAGUUAAAGGAGAAACAAAUUUUACUUUCCGUUCUUUAUUGCCCCAAACAUCGGAGAUUAAGGACAAGAUCAGUAUAACUGCUGAAACAAGGCGUCAUAAUCUGAGCAUUUGAGUGAUAACUGAAGUGAUCCAUAUAACUGCUCUCUAAGAUUCUCUUCAACUCUAACCAUUUUCUUCUCCGAUCAACACUCUGCUACGCCGACAUUCUGCCUACUUUACGGGUACCUUUCAGCCACAAAGAGACUUAUAGGUUCAUUGCAUGUAUCUUUCUAUUUUUUGUUUAGAUUAACAUUCAACAGUAAUACUAGCAUAUUUUUGUCUUGGUGUGGUGGAAGUGUGUCUUAUCUUAAAUCGAAACUUAAAAUAGUCUCAUAAUUUAAGUAUGUGUUUGAACCAACAAUCGUUUAACCAAAACCUAAAAUUCGUUGAAUCCAAGGGCGAGAAGAAAUUAAUACAAACUCUGGUCAUGUUUCUGGAUAUGCAAGGUAAAACUCCGUUCACCCUUGGCCCAACAGAUAUGGUUUAUUGUAGGAUCCUGCAAGGACACGCUGCAAAGGUUACAUAUUGACUAUUUCUCAAUAUGUGGUACUAGCACUUGAUGCUCAUUCAGUUUAGAAAUUGUCAAUAGAUGGAACUAGCAUGGCGAGCUCGAGCUGCAAGAAGAGGAUAAUGGAGUUGAGCUACUGUUUUAGUAAUUCUAUCAAGAGUUGCUCGAUGAUUUUCUCCGCAAGGAGGUCAAGAAUUUAUACAAUUUAUUUUUGCAUUAACUCAUUGAUUAGGAGGGAGAACGUUGAGUAUGUUUUUGCUGAUUAUUCCUUGAUUUCUUAAGAAAAUGGCUCCUUUUAAGGAUGGGAAGUGAUCAAGAUUAAAGCGACCAUGUGAUUUGUGUUGUCGCUGCUUAAAAUAGAAUUUCAUGCCAUUUAGGGCAGAUUGAGGAUAUGAGGCGACAGUCAAAUAAAACUAGGGAGACAAUAGCAAUACCUAUUGUGCCACAACUAGAGGCCAUAGUGAGGUUGAGCUACUGCUCGGCUUUUGGAUUGAGACCCUUUAUGGGGAAUAUAACAAUACUCUUUUCUUCAUUAUCUAUGUUGAUUUUCUUUUGAAUUUGAGACAAAUUAUCCUUGAUCUUUACAUGAGUACAUAAGAUGGAAGUUUCUUUUAAUA